rnacentral:rRNA from 1 species
UACGUAGGGUGCAAGCGUUAAUCGGAAUUACUGGGCGUAAAGCGUGCGCAGGCGGUUCUAUAAGACAGAUGUGAAAUCCCCGGGCUCAACCUGGGAACUGCAUUUGUGACUGUAGAGCUGGAGUACGGUAGAGGGGGAUGGAAUUCCGCGUGUAGCAGUGAAAUGCGUAGAUAUGCGGAGGAACACCGAUGGCGAAGGCAGUCCCCUGGGCCUGCACUGACGCUCAUGCACGAAAGCGUGGGGAGCAAACAGG